rnacentral:rRNA from 1 species
GAUGAACGCUAGCUACAGGCUUAACACAUGCAAGUCGAGGGGCAUCAGGAAGAAAGCUUGCUUUCUUUGCCGGCGACCGGCGCACGGGUGAGUAACACGUAUCCAACCUGCCCUUUACUCGGGGAUAGCCUUUCGAAAGAAAGAUUAAUACCCGAUGGCAUAAUGAUUCCGCAUGGUUUCAUUAUUAAAGGAUUCCGGUAAAGGAUGGGGAUGCGUUCCAUUAGGUUGUUGGUGAGGUAACGGCCCACCAAGCCUUCGAUGGAUAGGGGUUCUGAGAGGAAGGUCCCCCACAUUGGAACUGAGACACGGUCCAAACUCCUACGGGAGGCAGCAGUGAGGAAUAUUGGUCAAUGGGCGCUAGCCUGAACCAGCCAAGUAGCGUGAAGGAUGAAGGCUCUAUGGGUCGUAAACUUCUUUUAUAUAAGAAUAAAGUGCAGUAUGUAUACUGUUUUGUGUGUAUUAUAUGAAUAAGGAUCGGCUAACUCCGUGCCAGCAGCCGCGGUAAUACGGAGGAUCCGAGCGUUAUCCGGAUUUAUUGGGUUUAAAGGGAGCGUAGGUGGACUGGUAAGUCAGUUGUGAAAGUUUGCGGCUCAACCGUAAAAUUGCAGUUGAUACUGUCAGUCUUGAGUACAGUAGAGGUGGGCGGAAUUCGUGGUGUAGCGGUGAAAUGCUUAGAUAUCACGAAGAACUCCGAUUGCGAAGGCAGCUCACUGGACUGCAACUGACACUGAUGCUCGAAAGUGUGGGUAUCAAACAGGAUUAGAUACCCUGGUAGUCCACACAGUAAACGAUGAAUACUCGCUGUUUGCGAUAUACAGUAAGCGGCCAAGCGAAAGCAUUAAGUAUUCCACCUGGGGAGUACGCCGGCAACGGUGAAACUCAAAGGAAUUGACGGGGGCCCGCACAAGCGGAGGAACAUGUGGUUUAAUUCGAUGAUACGCGAGGAACCUUACCCGGGCUUAAAUUGCAGUGGAAUGAUGUGGAAACAUGUCAGUGAGCAAUCACCGCUGUGAAGGUGCUGCAUGGUUGUCGUCAGCUCGUGCCGUGAGGUGUCGGCUUAAGUGCCAUAACGAGCGCAACCCUUAUCUUUAGUUACUAACAGGUUAUGCUGAGGACUCUAGAGAGACUGCCGUCGUAAGAUGUGAGGAAGGUGGGGAUGACGUCAAAUCAGCACGGCCCUUACGUCCGGGGCUACACACGUGUUACAAUGGGGGGUACAGAAGGCAGCUAGCGGGUGACCGUAUGCUAAUCCCAAAAGCCUCUCUCAGUUCGGAUCGAAGUCUGCAACCCGACUUCGUGAAGCUGGAUUCGCUAGUAAUCGCGCAUCAGCCACGGCGCGGUGAAUACGUUCCCGGGCCU